GGGCCAGCACUGCCUCCACAGCCCUGUCAGAGGGAGACGAGGGCUCCAGGGAGCUCAGCGGACCCUGGCCCCACGGGAGCCCCCCAUGAGGAAGACAGCGACUCAGCCUCUUGGGUUGAUUCAGAAGAAGGUGCCAUAUGCCCCCUGCGUGUCUCCGCGCGAGUUUUCCUGGCCCGGCUCUUUUUCAGCACCAGCCUUCUAUUACUUGCAGUCAGUAACAAAGAUUCAUCCUUGUGUCCACCAAGCAACAAGGAGAAUCUUUGUCACUUAGUGUAAUUAAUAGCCGCACCUCGCACGGGAAGAAGGGAGAAGGACGCCCUUUGCACAGAGACUUUGGGUGGAUUCAGAACAGGCUUCGUGGAUCUUUGCUGCCUUUUGAUCAACUGAAAGGCCAGAACUCCAGCGGAGGUGGGCGGAAAAGGACUUGCUGGACAGAGAGAGGCCCACUGCACCUGCCCUUGAAGGAACUACACCCUCUUCUCCUUCAUGGGUUACUUAAAUCAAGACAUCAAAGUUGCUGUUCUGGAAACGGAUGGAUAUGGCCAGCUAUCAUAUGACAGCAAGUAAUAGCUGCCACGAGCUGUUGGUUGAGAAGCUGCAGAAAGAGCAUAUUUCGGGUACUCCCACACCGAACAGCCCGCGAGCCCACGAGAUGGAGAUGAGACGCCUUAUGGUAGCCUGCCUUCCUUUGUGGCCA